rnacentral:rRNA from 1 species
GACGAACGGCUGGCGGCGUGCUUAAAACAUGCAAGUCGAACGGACUUCUCAUGAAGCUUGCGAUUGAGAAGUUAGUGGCGGACGGGUGAGUAACGCGUGGGCAACCUGCCCCUGAGCCCGGGAUAACAGUUCGAAAGGACUGCUAAGACCGGAUAUACUUGCGGGGAAGCAUUUCACUGCAAGGAAAGGGAACGCUCAGGGAUGGGCCCGCGUCCCAUUAGCUAGUUGGUGAGGUAACGGCCCACCAAGGCGACGAUGGGUAGCCGGCCUGAGAGGGUGAACGGCCACACUGGGACUGAGACACGGCCCAGACUCCUACGGGAGGCAGCAGUUGGGAAUCUUCGGCAAUGGGCGCAAGCCUGACCGAGCAACGCCGCGUGAGUGAUGAAGGUUUUCGGAUUGUAAAGCUCUGUCUUCCGGGACGAUAAUGACGGUACCGGAGGAGGAAGCCACGGCUAACUACGUG